rnacentral:tRNA from 1 species
GGGGCUGUAGCUCAGUUGGUAGAGCACUUGCCUAGAAUGCACAAGACCCUGGGUUCAAUCUCCAGCACCA